rfam:Ailuropoda melanoleuca scaffold544_185, whole genome shotgun sequence.
ACCCGGCUGGCUCAGUCGGUAGAGCACGUGACUCUUGAUCUCAGGGUUGUGCAUUCAAGCCCCAUGCUGGGUG